rnacentral:sRNA from 1 species
UUUUCUACAAAUGUGUGUGUGUGUAUAUAUGUUUAACGACGCCUUCAUUUCUCCGAUUCGAUUCAGAGCGACAAGAUGAGAGCCAAGUGGAAGAAGAAGCGUAUGAGGAGGCUUAAGAGGAAGAGACGAAAGAUGAGACAGCGUUCUAAGUAAAUUUGCCUUUGAAGACAAUGCGACUCUGUUUCUUGCUUCUCUCCCUUUCUCUCUUGCAAACAUUGUUCUUACUAUAAGCUUCCUUUUAUGUUUCAGACUUGUUUAAGAUUUUAAUCAAAAAGAAAGUUUCAGACUUU